rnacentral:rRNA from 1 species
AUUGAACGCUGGCGGCAGGCCUAACACAUGCAAGUCGAGCGGAUGAAGGGAGCUUGCUCCUGGAUUCAGCGGCGGACGGGUGAGUAAUGCCUAGGAAUCUGCCUGGUAGUGGGGGAUAACGUCCGGAAACGGGCGCUAAUACCGCAUACGUCCUGAGGGAGAAAGUGGGGGAUCUUCGGACCUCACGCUAUCAGAUGAGCCUAGGUCGGAUUAGCUAGUUGGUGGGGUAAAGGCCUACCAAGGCGACGAUCCGUAACUGGUCUGAGAGGAUGAUCAGUCACACUGGAACUGAGACACGGUCCAGACGCCGACGGGAGGCAGCAGUGGGGAAUAUUGGACAAUGGGCGAAAGCCUGAUCCAGCCAUGCCGCGUGUGUGAAGAAGGUCUUCGGAUUGUAAAGCACUUUAAGUUGGGAGGAAGGGCAGUAAGUUAAUACCUUGCUGUUUUGACGUUACCAACAGAAUAAGCACCGGCUAACUUCGU